UACGUAGGGUGCAAGCGUUGUCCGGAAUUAUUGGGCGUAAAGAGCUCGUAGGCGGUUUGUUGCGUCGGCUGUGAAAUCCCGAGGCUCAACCUCGGGUCUGCAGUCGAUACGAGCAAACUAGAGUGUUGCAGGGGAGACUGGAAUUCCUGGUGUAGCGGUGAAAUGCGCAGAUAUCAGGAGGAACACCAAUGGCGAAGGCAGCUCGCUGGGACGGUACUGGACGCUGGAGGCGACGAAAGCGUGGGGAGCAAACAGG
rnacentral:rRNA from 1 species